rnacentral:lncRNA from 1 species
AAGAUCGCUAACUCAGAUGAUGAUGUCAAUACCGCAACAAAACAAAAGAAGAGAAAUAAAAAAAAAAUAUAAUCAAAUACGUGGAUCAGUCCAAGACUUAGUCCAUGAGACAUACAAGCUUCACUAUGAGAGAAAAUAAAUACAAGAAAAGAUCACACACUCUCAACUCCCAUAAACCUCUCUCAACAAGAAAUACUUAACCCUUACAAAGCUCUCAUAAAAAUCCCAAAGGAGAUCCUCUACUGCUCCACAGACUCUAUGGCUGCUAUCUCUACCUCCAGGGGCCAUUCUCUGUCACUCUCUAUUGCCUACAGGCCAUCAGGCCCUUUUAAAGACCCUAAAUCGAGUCCUGUUAGAUUUUAGAACUCGUCUCAGCCUCCUGAUCAACCUUGUAAGCUUCUGUGGCCAUCCGAUUGCACUUGCAAGCAACUAUGGCCGCUUAAUCAUACAAAAUCACC